GCAUGGACUCGAAAUGGUAAAUAAUGGUGAGCGGUCGGAUUUCGCUUGAGUAUCUUUUUUAAUGCUCUACAUAUUAAUCAAAUGGUUUCUUGCUCGCAAGCAAGACCUAUUACGACUUCACUCUUAACUGCAUCAAAUUGCACUUUUUCACGUCAAUCCUUCAUGAACGGUAGAAGAAAAAGUAACGUCAAUUUUGAUUAGCAUAAAUGAGCAGAAUUUACAUCAACUACGCCAACGAAACAUUAUUCUCAGCUAUUUUAGUAAUUUAUUCAAUCCAUUUAGACUCACCAAAUACCGUGUAGAGAUGAAAUAUGUCAACUGCAAUUCAACUUGAAGACCCUGAAAAUCAACAUGCAAAAUUUCUCUUGUAAUGAUGAAAUAACUUUUCAUAAGUAUAUCUACAUUCAUACGAAACAUAGAGUAUCACCUGUGUAUAAUUGACAGUCUACAUAUAUUAUUCGAAAUCGUGGUUACAUAUAUUGUAAAGGGUGUUAAUAAAGUCCGAUCCCAUGAA